UUCCAAGCAAUACUUGCUCCUUCUUCUUGACCUCCUUAGGGAAUCAUCUUCAGUGAGUGGAAUUCAUUCUGCCUUGGACCACGUUUUAAGUUCUUGUGAUAAUCGUCAUGUUACCCGAGUCAUCUCUAUUAAACCCUGAAGCCUCACAUCGCAGAUUGAAUGUCUCUUCCCUCCAGAACUCAGAAAGCAAAACAAGAGUUUUGGUGGUGCUUGGCAAGCAGCAUUCACAAUGCCAGAAUUGCUCAUGGGGCUCCCCGGUUACUGAAUGAGGACUCCAUUUCGUUCUGUCAUAGUGAAAGAUGGCUCUGGGUAUGGACCAACAUGGAACUGUGACCAGACCCUGCUAGAGGAGGAAUUUACACCACUGGGAGCCAUCAGAAGAGUUAGGAACAAGGCCCUUGACCACUGGCUAAAAAGAUAACGGGAGCUACACACCUGUUUCAGAAAUCAGUGUUUGGGGAACUGUGUCUCGCUCUGGCCUCUCCCUGCAACUGCUUUCUCUCCUCUGCUUCCUGUCCUCCGUGCGGCGAUCUACUCAGCCACAGCAACAGCAUGCCCUCCUCACCGCAGUGGUUGAGCCUUCUGAAAACAGUGUACAAAACACAUUCUGCUUCCUUCCAGCUGUUCGUUCAGACAUUUGUCCAACAACAUUGAAGAACGCAACUAACGUGUCCGCUGUGCACGGCAUUCACCACACACACCCGUGUUUCCUGGUUUUCUGAACAAGAGCUGGAUGGAGUGUACAGAGCUGGAAGGAGUGAGGCACAAGAAGAGAAGCUACUAGCAUGGCAGUGAUGGAGGCUUCUGAGGGGGCUACAAAAGUUUCUCUGAAGUCCUUCUCAACUCCCACUCUCCUUUCUCUUUCUCAUAACUUAGUAGUAGCAGUCUCUAGUCAUUAAUGCAUACCUUCAUGUACUACAACCCUGCAGGUUCUUCUCAAUGAUAGAAAAUGUCUGGUGGAGCUUAGGAAGUUUCUGAACCAAAAUGAAGUCAGAAUCAAAUGUGAAAUGAAUGGGGGCGGGUUCAGCUGCGUUUCCCCCGGGUUGCACCACUUGGCUUCACCAAAAGCUUGCUCCUGAACCCACAACCCACUCAACUUUGCACUGACCAGGCUCCCAUGCCACUCAUGAGGCUUCUGUGUGCUAUGAACUACAGCGUCAUUACUGUGCGAAGUUUUCUGCUUUUGUAGAAAUGUUUCUUUAUGGAAAACGAAGAUUUUCCUGGGCAUAUAAGCAUCAGAUGUAGCUUUGGAGUGUGUUGUGGUAGAAUGUUUGAUUCUAAGCACUGCUGUUUGAGUUGUUGCCUUGAGGUUCAUGAGGAAUUGGUCAGUGAGUUUUGACAUGGGAUUCGGACAGAAUUUCUAAGCACUUCUGACAUGGCUCUGACAUAUUUCUGCCAUGUUGUACCAUGCAGUUAUGUUCUUAGCAUUAAUGAUUAUAAAGUCAAAGUUAUGGCCAGCUCUGAAAUCAUUGGUGAUUCUCUGUGUCCCUCAGUAUGAAAGAGCCAGCCAGCAUUUGCUUCUUUAUGUAACAGCAAAUAAACACAUCCAUCUCAAUGGUAUGCAAAUUUGUGUGUAUACCAAAUAAUUAAUUAUUUAAAUUUAAAAUUUCUUUAUGAUGUAUUACCAGCAGACAUUUGAUUUGUAUACUCAUCUAUCAGGGUACCACAAAAAUUUCUCAGGUGAGAGGGCUUUGUUGGGAGAGUGUUUGUCCAGCACACACUAAGUCCUGGGCUUGAUCAACAGUCCCAAAUUAGCCCAGACGUGGUAGCAUAAACUGUAAUUGCAGAAGGAAGCUUAGAAGUUCAGUCAUUUCCUGCUACAUUAUGAGUUCAAGGUCAGCUUGGGCUAGAUGAGAUCCUGUCUCACAUAAGAUGAAAAAUAAAAUGAAUAAAAAUCCGCCUUUCACAAAUGAAUAGAGGCCAGGAAUGAGCAGGCCUCUGAAGCCGUGACUGAGGGGACCAUUUCAGGAGAGCCUGUUACCAUGACACACACACUCAGCUCCUCAUGGAACUAACUAUGUACAAGCAAGAUGGUAAUUAGCAUAUCAGAUAGUGACAUCAUCUUCUGAUGUGGGAACAGCUUGGAAACUCAGUGUGCCAGGAAGCCUCUGGGUCUGAUUCUGCAAUUCCUCCAUAGCAGCUUCCCAGAUUUCAGAGCUCACGAAUCCAAUGGCAGGCAUUGGGAAGAGGCUUAUCCACAGAAAUAAGAGACUCCUUAUGAGGCCGAUUGCCACAUGUCUUGUAGUCUAGGAUGUCUACUGAUAAUCUCCAGUAAGAUUCCCAUUUCAUCAGCGGUAGAACAUGUGAGGAUGUGGGAAAGAGGAGGGAUUCAGUGGGUGUUUGCUGAGUGUCAGGAUGGCUUUCUAGAUUACAAAGCUGUCACGUGGGAAAGCCUCGGAGACUCACCCUGAACUUGUCUCCACGCCUGUCUGCGCAGCCUCUAAUUCGGGGUGUCCCGGCAAUGCUGUUUUCCCAAAGUUGUAGAUUUAGCUCAGUUGUGGGUACCACAAUGAGCCAUUGUUCCCAGCCACUCUUCUCCUACCCUCUGACCCUUCCUCCUGGGGUGAGUGCGCAUUUUCCCAAACUCCUAAUGGACAGGACCUCAGCAACAAUGGCCCUGCGUGUAGCUUACACUUGUGGGGUGAAAUAGGGGCUCCUUUGUUGCUGGAGGUAGGGAGAAGGGCAUAAAUUAACCCAAUCUUUACAUUCUCGUGAAAAACAUGCAGACAUUUUAAAGAGAACAAAAUUCAAUUUUGUAUUCCAUUUUGAAAAGAAUUCUUUGCACGCAAACCACCGUGACAAUAUUAAAGGAAAUUCAACUAACAGCCAUGCCCACAGUCCUUCCAUCCUGACAAAUGUAAUCAUUUUUAUUUGCCACGUUUCUCUCUAAUCCUUAACCCCCACACCCCCGAAGUUUCCCCUCCGUUGUCAGCAAAGUGCCACCGGCUUUUAGAAGAGUCACAUUCUGAUGGAGAUGUCUCUUUUAGAUAGUUAUGUACCAUUAUUAAAGAUUCAAAAUACCAUUAAUUUUCUUCAAGCUCCAUUAUGUUUAUCAUCUAUCACAGCGACAGCGCAUUAAUCACGUCCUCAGUGCCUCAGGAGCAAGGAUGAACUCUGCUUCUCCUAGGACUCCGACCAGGGCACCCACAAAGGCAGUCGUUUUGCCAGCUGCUGACCCGGGAGCAACGGGGUCUUGAAUGGUCUCCUCUGAGGUGGAGACUCUCCUUUAGAUGGUGAAAUGAAAGGCUAGAGGGGCUUGGGGGAACAAAAAAGAAAUGAUCCCAUUCUUCCACAGUCUCCGUAAGAAGGGCAGUUGUGGACACAGCUGUCUUUACGUAGUAGCCAGGAGAACACAGAAUGGGAGAGCCUUGACUGUCCCACGGUGUCCCAUGGUGUCCCACGCCUGGGCUGAUGGCUGUGCCGGGGCUCAGGUUGUAGACAGGGUGGAGGCCCAGGUGCUGGCAUCAUCCUUCCAGGGCAUGCCAUAUGGGAACGUGAGCUUGGGAUUAGCUAAGUGCCAUGCUGGCAUUGACUCCACAGUUUAUAACGAAGUAUCAAGGGAACUGUGUGACCUUUGUGAUGUGGAUGCUCGUUUCCUCUUGUCUGAAACAAAAAUCACACCAAUCAUUUAUGAAAUAGGUACUUUUGAGCCCAAAUCUAGACGCUGUUGUCUAAGUUUUUCCCUGUGACUGUAAUAAAAGCCCCAGGCAAAAGCAAAUUAGGGGAGAAAAGAAAUUAGGGUACAGUCCAUUAUGAUGGGAGGUGGAGGCAGAAGGAGCCGGAAUCAGCUGGUCACAUCACCUCUGCAGUCAGGAGAGGAAUGCAUGCAAGUGAGUGCUCAUCUGCAUUCUCUGUAUAGUCCAGGAUCCCAGCCAGGGAAUGGUACCCUCUGCAGUGGGCAGGUCUUCACAAAUCAAUUAGUCCUUCACAGCUAUACAUAGAAACCCUUCUCCUAGGUGACUGUGGAUUCUAUCAAGCUGACAACCAACACUGGCCAUCACAUCCAGAAUAUAAUGUAAAAUGGAAGUGGGAGAGCACAAAGGUGGCAGUCUGGUCCUCACCCUGUAAAAUGAAAUUAUGUUCAGUGAGGUUGACGGAGCAGAGCUUCGUGUUCAAAGGGUAGUGAGUGGGAUCUUGAAUUUGUUAUAGCUAGCUUCGGGGGGCUGGAGGAACCAGCAUCCCCAACAGAGAGAACAGAGAGUACAGGGUCUUCACACUAAAGGGAGCAUGGUGACAAGAAGGUGUGAGCCACAGAUGUCCAGGGAUGAAGUGGGGCACAGUGGGAGAUGUGGCUGAAGGGAAGAGAGCCCUUGGCAAGGGAUACUCUACAAUGUUCAGUUCCAAAAACCAACUAGACUAGGCUGGCAAAGCAUUCUGGGAGUGUCUGUGAGAGAGUGGUAUUUUAACCAGCGAAUGAACCUGGGAAGCUCUACCCUCACCCUAUAUGGAGAGUGCCAUCUCAUUGUUUGUGGGUCUGGGUAGAAUGAAGAGGCAAAGGAACAGGGCACCUUGGACAUUAGAAGUCCAGCUUCUGACCUCACACUUCUCCCAACCCUUCCAUUUUACUACCUGGGUCCCAGGCCUCAGCCUUAUACUGAGAGCUAUGGUCUCCACCUCCCUGUUCAUAGGCCUUCAACCUUGAGCUGAACCACACUGUAACUUCCUGGCUCUUCAGAUAGCAGGGGGCUUGUUGUGGGACUUCUCAGAAUCCACAGCUGUGCCAUCAAAUUCUUCUGAUAUCCUCCCAUUAUAUUUUCCUAUCAUCUUUAUAUAUACAUAUGUCUACCUGCCCAUGUCCAUGCCCUUGUGUGUAUACAUGCAUGUAUCUAUCUGUUCAUGUAGCAUUGGAAGCCCUGACUAAUCCUUCCUCUAAGAUCAAGGAGGAGCCACAAAAGGAGGCAUGGACACAGAAAAGCCACUCUGACUGCAGGUACGAUGCUCUUCCAUAUGAGCAUAGAUUGAUACAGAAGUCUGUGAGUCUCCAGAGAACUCACCUGGCUUGCUCAAGCUUGGAGUGUGGCUGUCUCGUGCCUGGAAUGGAGCAAGUACUGACUUCAUACUUUCCUCAGUGACUGGAUGACCAAAGGCAGUCACCAUGGAGACAGAUGAUGGGAAUAUUAGAAGACAAGACUGAUGUUUGUCUCUGCUUGAUCCGGAAGGGUUGCCAUCUAGUCAGUCAGUAUGACUGGGUCCACCGACUCUAUUCAUGACUCUGUAGAACGUGAACAUGACUAUCCCAGUGAGCACACAGAGGUCCCAUGUGAGCUCACAGAAGUCCUAUGUGAGCAGAGCCUAGUCCUGGACACAUACUCUAAGCCCUGCUUUCUGGCUGAGCUGAGUCUACAGCCAGUGUGGGGUCACUACAAAGUCACAUGUGGCUAUGAAGGUUUGAGAUGUGCACAAGGAGCCACUUGUGCACUGGGGCACACUGCAAGCUAGAUAUCCCCUCCCUAUUCUUACCUCCUGUGUAAGAGAUUUAUUUUAUUUUUAAUGAUGUGCAAAUGUGGCAUUUUG